AAAAGAGAUCAGAUUUUGGAGACCUAAAAAAGAUCCCAGCUAAAAUACACCUAUCCAUCGUUACCUCCUAAGAAAGGAGACUACUCUCUUGCUCACCAUCUCUCAUUUUCAACAGAGAAGGAGACCAUCUCUUCAAAAAAGACGUUGCCUCUUCUAUAAAAAAGAAGAUAAAAAAAUCUCAUCAGGAGCAACGAAGAGAUCAGCGCUACUCCCUCCCUCUGACCAAAUAAAAAAAAGCCCCCUAAGAAUUCCGGUAACCUUCAUGAACGCCGUUUGGUUCCUCCAGAUCUGACUGCCGUCGAGAGGUUCUAUCCGAGGUCUUAUCUUCAAAAAUUCAAAAGAAAAAUUUCAGAAAAACUGGAUUAUUAUUCAUUGUUGAUUGCUGUUGAUUUUCGGCUGCUGCUUCUUUCAUGUUAGCUAAAAAUGAAGACCAUGCAGGUUCUUAUGUUUAAAUAUCUUAAUAGAAUUUUUUUUUUGACAAAUUCAAAUCCUUGAUGUUUUUCUCUGCGUUGCUUUAUGGAUUUUUUUCACUUUUCUGGCAAAUGUUGUUGGUUGUAGCUGAAAAACGAAUAAAAACUUGUUCAAAAGAAAAAAAUAUAAGAAAUCUAUGGUUGAUUGUUGAAGAUUAAAAUUUUAUCACCAGUUACAUACACGUCGACUUCCAAAUAAAAUGCAGAUCCCAUGAUUUUAUCUGUUUUCCUUCUACUCUUUUUGCGUAUUAAUAAUAAUGUCCACAGUCAAAUUACGCAAGCCUGCAAAGGUCACUCAUUGUAAUUACUUCAUCACCAUUAAAUAAAGUCACUUCUUUUUGGUUUUGACUGAGUACCGAAUUUCGUGUAAUGGAACAGUAAAGUAUUUCUCAAGCUAUGGUUAUUCCUAUUAGUAGGUUUUGUUGUUUACUUGGUUCAUCUUUAUCUUUUUCAGCUUGUUGCUUCAGAUAUAACUUCUUUUUUUGUCUUAUUUAUAAGCAGUGCAAUUUAUGAGGUGGGGAGGCAUGGGAUGAAGUUUGCUAUUGUGCAUGAUACAACUUUUUCAUAUUUCACUGUUGAUCAUAUCUCUAAUAUUUAUUGAACAUGUUAAUCCAUUUAUUUUAUAGUAGUAGCUCUUUUUGUAUCUCGGAUUGUUGUACUGCUCUUAAAUUUUGUUAAACAUGCAUUUAGUCUUCCUCUAGUUUGAAUUUUUUUGGGCAGAGUGAGGUUAAUUCUUCUCACUGUUGUCCGAAUAUAUAUUCACACAUUUAGAGGAUUAUUAAAGAGUUUGUCUUCAUGUGUUAAUCGAAUUAUCUCAGGGACGUUGUGAAAAAUAAAAAAGGAAGUUUGGUUUCCAAGGUAUGAACAUCGUAGCUUGCUUUAGGCGCGAUUAAUAAAUCAUCGUGACUAUGGGUAUGGUUCCCGUGACAUAGUUAUGAUGCCUAAUUUCCAAAAUUCGGGUAUGCAUUUCAUGUGACCCAAAUCCAAAUCUCAACAACGCUAAAUAAAAUAUGUCGUGGACCGCGGGUGCAUUUCAUGUGGCAUGGUUCAAGGCGUGUUUUAGAUGGCGUUGAAAUCUUCCUUAAAGUAAUUAAAAGCGGUUUAAAGUUAAAAUGCACAUAGGUUCAAAAGUAUUUUAAAAUCAAAUAAUAGGCCAAUUGUAACAGUUGAGCGACCGUGCUAGAACCAC
rnacentral:lncRNA from 1 species